AGGGGGAUAACGAUUGGAAACGAUCGCUAAUACCGCAUGACAUAGCGGAAUCGCAUGGUUCUGUUAUCAAAGAUUUUAUCGCUGAUAGAUGGGCUCGCGUCCGAUUAGAUAGUUGGUGGGGUAACGGCCUACCAAGUCGACGAUCGGUAGCCGGACUGAGAGGUCGAACGGCCACAUUGGGACUGAGACACGGCCCAGACUCCUACGGGAGGCAGCAGUGGGGGAUAUUGCACAAUGGGGGAAACCCUGAUGCAGCGACGCCGCGUGAGGGAAGACGGUCCUCUGGAUGUAAACCUCUGUCUUCGGGGACGAAACGAGACGGUACCCGAGGAGGAAGCCACGGCUAACUACGUGCCAGCAGCCGCGG
rnacentral:rRNA from 1 species